UACGUAGGGCGCAAGCGUUAUCCGGAAUUAUUGGGCGUAAAGAGCUCGUAGGCGGUUUGUCGCGUCUGCCGUGAAAGUCCGGGGCUCAACUCCGGAUCUGCGGUGGGUACGGGCAGACUAGAGUGAUGUAGGGGAGACUGGAAUUCCUGGUGUAGCGGUGAAAUGCGCAGAUAUCAGGAGGAACACCGGUGGCGAAGGCGGGUCUCUGGGCCGAUACUGACGCUGAGGAGCGAAAGCAUGGGGAGCAAACAGG
rnacentral:rRNA from 1 species